AGACACGGAGGUGAAACCACCUGUUUGUUACCAGACAUGGAGGUGAAACCACCUGUUUGUCACCAGACAUGGAGGUGAAACCACCUGUCUGUCACCAGACAUGGAGGUGAAACCACCUGUUUGUUGUCCAGAAUAGGACCCGUGGUGGAGGGCAGCUAGUGGGGAGCAGUGCUGGAGGACCUGCUGGGAAGGACAUCCCUCGUUGGGGUAAAGACACCCGUCUCUGAGAUGUGAAGGCUGCAGAGGACCCACCAGGAUCCCCUUGGAGGACAACAAAUGGACUACGUGAGGUCUUUGGAAGCACUACAGUUCAGAAUGCCUUCCAAAGAAUGAAGCCCACCCCCCAUGGCUCAGCUAGUGGCGUUCACCGGACCAGGAACCCCGAGACCUGAAGGAGGAGCCGUGCAUCUGGAGGAACACCAUGAGGCUACCCGCCAAGUAUUACUCGAUCUCCUGGGCGAGGCGUGGGGCGCCAGGAGGGACCGAGGCCGACCACCAAGCUGUUCUCAAACGCUGAAGAAUAGGACCCGUGGUGGAGGGCAGCUAGUGGGGAGCAGUGCUGGAGGACCUGCUGGGAAGGACAUCCCUCGUUGGGGUAAAGACACCCGUCUCUGAGAUGUGAAGGCUGCAGAGGACCCACCAGGAUCCCCUUGGAGGACAACAAAUGGACUACGUGAGGUCUUUGGAAGCACUACAGUUCAGAAGGCCUUCCAAAGAAUGAAGCCCAGCCCCCAUGGCUCAGCUAGUGGCGUUCACCGGACCAGGAACCCCGAGACCUGAAGGAGGAGCCGUGUAUCCGGAUGAACACCAUGAGCCUACCCGCCAAGUAUUACUCUGAGCUCUGCAGGGUGGUCAGGACGGCUGGAGACGUGGAGGGCGGGCGGGGAGCCAGGCUCACCAGUGAUCUCCUGGGCGAGGCGUGGGGCGCCAGGAGGGACCGAGGCCGACCACCAAGCUGUUCUGAAACGCUGAAGGACCCGUGGUGGAGGGCAGCUAGUGCGGAGCCGUGCUGGAGGACCUGCUGGGAAGGACAUCCCUCGUUGGGAUGUGAAGGCUGCAGAGGACCCACCAGGAUCCCCUUGGAGGACAACAAAUGGACUACGUGAGAUCUUUGGAAGCACUACAGUUCAGAAUGCCUUCCAAAGAAUGAAGCCCACCCCCCAUGGCUCAGCUAGUGGCGUUCACCGGACCAGGAACCCGAGACCUGAAGGAGGAGCCGUGCAUCUCGAAGAACACCAUGAGGCUACCCGCCAAGUAUUACUCACUUCCACGAGGAGGGGGACUGUCGGCUGGAGGACCUCCCUACUGGUGGAGCGAGUGACACCCGGCUCUACAGGGAAGACCACGGUGGAGAGAGGGCUGAAGCUGUGCAUCCUGAAGGGGAAACAGGCGCGGUUGAAGUGCUGUGUUCAGUCUGGGAAGGACACACCUGAGCUGUUUCACCCUGAGCUGCUUCACACCUGCAUCUCUAACCAGCUGAAGCCCUUCAGUGACCAACAAAAGGUCCCUCAUCACAGCUUAUCAUCGCUGGCCUGAGGAUUCAUCCUACACUCACACAACGUGACUUUGUCACCAUCUGCUGCACGUUGGGAUGCUAACGUGUUCCACCAGGGGUUCCUUCCUUCCCGCAGUGGGAGUGUUCCUUGUCCUUCAAGGAGUUAGGGUUCAGUGUUAGGGACAGAGUUAGGGAGAGAUGGUUGAGUCCUGGCUGGUUUACGAUGAACUGCUCUAACGCUUUGCCAAAAUGUUUCAAUGUGCAAACACUCACAAACACAUACAAUGUAUAAUAAGUGUUUAUGAAAUAAAUUCUGUUUAUAAUUCUGCAUGUUUGUGUGGGGGUUUUAUUACCAUUAAACAAUUUUCUCUCACCGCAACCUCCCC
ensembl:lncRNA